rnacentral:tRNA from 1 species
GCGCUCGUAGCUCAGUUGGUAGAGCAGCUCGCUCUUAACGAGACGGUCGGAGGUCCGAUCCCUCCCGAGCGCA